CUUUUUUUUGUUUUAAAACAGUGAAAUAAAUUUUACUGAAUACUACUGAGACUCUGAUCAUUAUUUUAAUUCAACAUGUUUAAAUUAAAAUAUGUGUGUUUCAUAUUUGCUACUUUUGGACUGAUAGCAGCCCGACACAUGGAGGCCGGUCAAAAUGCUACAAAUCCGCAUGUACAUUUACAACGACCAACGGAACAAGACGGAAUCCCACCUACUUUCCUGGAGCAAGGAAAAAUACCCAUAACGAUCGGAUGUGGCGUUCUGAUUGCUGUUAUUAUUGGCCUGUUCGUUAGAUACAUCUAUGGAAAAGUGAGGACCUUCAAUCAUCCACGUGUUGCGAAACCGGUGGUUGUGUAAGUUUCUGCAAUGGAUGCCCUCUUUGAAAACUGGCCGCUUCAUAGACAACAAAAAACCAAAAGGAAAGAAUUAAGGGGCAGUUCCAGUUUUUGGGGUCAAUUUUUCCAGCCACAUCUGUUCCAAAUAGAAUUAUUUUGUAUAAUGGUACCAAGUGCUCUUUUGUGUACACCAAAUUACCCAAUGACUAACAAUUCAAUGUUAACAUACGAAUUGUCGCUUUGUACAUGUUUGUUUAGGUAAUUCCAUCCACAGCCGUUGUAAUAAUCACAAAUAUUUACUUUAAUCGUUUUUCUGUAGUUUUUGAGCAUAGGAACUAUAAUUUACGACAAGAAGAUAUCUCAAUUUGUAGCGGUUCGAAUUAUCCUUUUUUUACCAUGAUUGUUUGACAGCAACUUUAAAUUCACCCCCAGGAACUGUUUUAACUUAACUCUUUAUAAUGUUUCAUUGCAUUUCAAUAAGGACAAUGCUCCUGAAUGGUCCUUUUGUCAUUAUGUUUGAACUAUGUUUGAAGCACUAGUUCCACUUUCUGAUUUGUUACAUUUACUUCUUCACUGUUGAUGAUACUCUACUAGAGUUGUUUAUGUGGAUAUAUAUAAUAAAAACACAUGUUUUACGUACAUGCCAAGCAUGGAUUUGAAAAUAUGAUACAAGUGUGUAUACAGUUGUAAUGCAUAUUGCAUAAAACACUUUUCUUAGAUUGUA